rnacentral:lncRNA from 1 species
CCUCAGUGUGACCUGACACAUGGCGUAGAGGAAAACGGGAGGUUUCAAUUCCACAGAGUGAGCAGAGGGCUCUCACGAUGAAUGUAGCCAGACUUCCAUUCUGGGAAUGGGAACUUGAUGCUCCAUAAAGCUUUGUGAAGUGUGGCCACUGCAAAGCUGAGGAGGGAAGCGCAUCACUCCUAAGAGCAGCUGAGAGAUAUGGGAAAAUGUGAGACAACUGUGCUGUCGACAAAGGAUUUUCAGCACCUGGACUCAUUAUCUGGCUGCCUGCCAUUUUCUUAGUAUGUGUGUAAUUCUGCAGCAAAGUUUCCAGGUGCCCCUGCAGCUUUGACUGCCAUCAAGGCUACAUGCAGUGAGAGCCUAAUGAAGCCUCCAGUUGGUCUUUGUGGAGCCCGCUUGUCCCUGAAUGGUACACUAUGUCCCCACUGGAUGUCCCGAUCUCACAAUGCAGCCUUUCCUGCCAACUCGCAGUAAUGACAGCCUGCUCCAGUUGCAAAAGAAAAAGCAUUUCCUAAGAGUCUCCUCCCUCAUGGGCACGAGGAACAACUUCUCUCUAAACCCUUGACAAUUUACCUUCUGAACUUUUACCUGCUUGGCCUUCCUUAGCUAAUUAAAAAAAAAUCUAACUUUCA